rnacentral:pre_miRNA from 9 species
ACGUGCAUACUAAAAAAGAGUACUCCCGGGUGGAAGACUGGUGAUUUUGUUGUUUGAGCUCAUCCAUAACAGCAAAUCCGUAGUCUCCACCUGGCAACUCCUAAGCUCCGAUCUUCCAGUA